CCGUAAGGCGCCGAAUGAGUCAUUAAAAAAAUUAACAUCAUCCGAUCCCUAGUCGGCAUAGUUUAUGGUUAAGACUACGACGGUAUCUGAUCGUCUUCGAUCCCCUAACCUUCGUUCUUGAUUAAUGAAAACAUCCUUGGCAAAUGCUUUCGCAGUAGUUAGUCUUCAAUAAAUCCAAGAAUUUCACCUCUGACAAUUGAAUACUAAUGCCCCCAACUAUCCCUAUUAAUCAUUACGUCGAUCCUAGAAACCAACAAAAUAGAAUCAAACGUCCUAUUUCAUUAUUCCAUGCUAAUGUAUUCAAGCGUGAGCCUGCUUU
rnacentral:rRNA from 1 species